AUGGUCAUACUUUAUAGGAUCACUUCUAUAGUGCUAUUGCCGGGUUUCUCGCCGAGAUUCUCGGACUAUAUUCAACUAUGAUAAGGAUUGUUAGUGUGAUUCUCUAAACGGGAAGCGGCUCUCAAGCUUUGUGCUUGAGAGUUUUGAUGACCGUUCUGACUCGGUUUACCGAUGCUAAGAGGAGGAUCACACAGGCUGAAUAGA